rnacentral:tRNA from 2 species
GGGCCGAUGGUGAAUGGGAUCCCGGCGACGUUGUUGGUUUCGUCGGCCUCCAGGACCAGAUUGUCCGGAUCCACCUCGGCCUC